rnacentral:rRNA from 1 species
AGUGAACGCUGGCGGUAGGCCUAACACAUGCAAGUCGAACGGCCGCACCGUAAGAGCUUGCUCUCACGGGUGGCGCGUGGCGGACGGGUGCGUAAUACAUCGGAUUCUACUUUUUCGUGGGGGCUAACGUAGGGAAACUCACGCUAAUACCGCAUACGUCCUACGGGUGAAAGCACGCGUUCUUCGGACCUUGUGCGGUUGAAUGAGCCGACGUCGGAUUAGCUAGUUGGCGGGGUAAAGGCCCACCAAGGCGACGAUCCGUAGCUGGCAUGACAGGAUGAUCAGCCACACGGGAACUGAGACACGGCCCAGACUCCGACGGGAGGCAACAGUGGAGAAUAUUGCGCAAUGGGGGCAAGCCUGAUCCAGCGAUACCGCGGAGGGGAAGAAGGCGUUCGGGUGGUAAAGCCCUGUUGUUGUGAAAGAAAAGCAGUAGGUUAAUACCCCGCGGUUCUGACGGUACCCAAAGAAGAAGCACCGGCUAACUUCGUG